rnacentral:rRNA from 1 species
CCUACGGGGGGCAGCAGUGGGGAAUAUUGGACAAUGGGGGCAACCCUGAUCCAGCCAUGCCGCGUGUGUGAAGAAGGCCCUCGGGUUGUAAAGCACUUUCAGUGAGGAAGAACGCCUGGUGGUUAAUACCCAUCAGGAAAGACAUCACUCACAGAAGAAGCACCGGCUAACUCCGUGCCAGCAGCCGCGGUAAUACGGAGGGUGCGAGCGUUAAUCGGAAUUACUGGGCGUAAAGCGCGCGUAGGUGGCUUGAUAAGCCGGUUGUGAAAGCCCCGGGCUCAACCUGGGAACGGCAUCCGGAACUGUCAAGCUAGAGUGCAGGAGAGGAAGGUAGAAUUCCCGGUGUAGCGGUGAAAUGCGUAGAGAUCGGGAGGAAUACCAGUGGCGAAGGCGGCCUUCUGGACUGACACUGACACUGAGGUGCGACAGCGUGGGUAGCAAACAGGAUUAGAUACCCGUGUAGUC